GCUCUAAGUAAGUGCCUGAUAGUGCCUACAAAGGAGAAGAAAUGAUCCAAUUCUCAAGGAGCUUAUGGAGGAUAUCUGGAAGCAUUCAACUUCACUGAACAAGCAUCAAAGUGAAUUUGCUCUACGGUGAACUGAAAUGAGGAAAACAUAAACAGAGGUAACAGAAGCUACAUUUUAAAGGAGCAGUAAAGGAAAACCACAAUCAAUGUGGCAGAGAGUGGAUAACUAGGAGAUAGCAGAGGAGGACACAGACCCAUGAGGCUGGAGUACAGUUGUAAAAUGAAUGAAAUCAGAAUUUUUUCCACUCACUUGGAACAAGAUCCAGUUCUUCCCACUGAGGAGCCAAAUGACCAUUCCUUGAGCUGCAUCUCAGGAAGCUGAACUUGGAUACUGUGCAGAUUUCAGAGAGUGUCAUUCUUCGUGAUCAUCUAUGUGAAAGUUCUUGUUCUCAAAACAGAGAAAUCAAACGACCAAGUCUUCCAGGGAAAUCACUCAACUGAACAUGCUUUUCACACUUUAAAACAGAAUUCCUAAGAAACUUGGAACUCAUGGCCACAGGCCACACAACAGAUCCAAAGCACUGUGGCAGUGGAGAAAAGACACAUCACACUGGAGUGGAUUCACGUCAAGUUAAAAAGGAUGAAUUGUUUCUUAAGCAUGUAAAAAAGAAAAAUGGACCUUGAAAAUAUGCUCCCUUGGUGAUGUAGCAAACACACCCGAGGAAAAAAGGGAUUUUUUUUUCCAUCAUCACAAUCAAAAUGAAUUUUAUCAACACCAACGAAUCCAUAAGGUAUCAGAAAGCUGCUUCUGCAU